rnacentral:rRNA from 1 species
AUGUACUGCCAGUCGUGCAAGAACGUGUACGACGAGGAGGACGCCGGGACCUGCAAGGAGUGCUACGAGGAGGCCAGCGAGACGGAGGAGGAGCUCAAGCGCGAGAUCGACGACCUCCGCUCCCGCCUCCUCUUCCUGCGCCUCCCCUCCCCCACGCUCGACGCCUCCGCCGCCGGCCACUCCGACCUCCUCCUCCACGCCAUCCCCGCCUCCUCGACCUCCCCCUCCGGCGACGCCGACGGGGCCCGCCUCGACACCCCCGCCGUCCCUGCCCACCGCGUCAUCCUCGCCAGCAGAUCUCCUGUAUUCAGAGCAAUGCUUGACAGCGAGAUGGAAGAGAGCCGGAGCGGCGUCAUCAAGAUGUACGACGUGUCCUACGAUGUCCUCCGUGCUUUUGUCCACUACAUGUACACGGGCGAGGCUCUCCUGGACGAGCAAAUGGCCUGCGAUCUCCUGGUGUUGGCCGAGAAGUACGAGGUAAAGCACCUGAAGACCUACUGCGAGAAGUUCAUCACGUCCAAGGUGAACAACGACAACGCCAUCGUCCAUUACGCGUUUGCGCACCGGCACGGCGCGAAGCAGCUGCUCGAGGCCUCCAUGUCGGCGCUCAUGGAUAGCAUGCCCACGCUGGCGGAGCGGGAAGAGUACAAGGAGCUGGUCGAGAGGGACCCGAGGAUCCUCGUGGAGAUCUACGAGACCUAUGUCAGCCGACAGGACAACACUGCUGACGAGAGGGAUUCAGAUUGCUGCUGUAGAAAGUGA